rnacentral:rRNA from 1 species
CAGUAGCCGCGGUAAUACGGAGGGUGCAAGCGUUAAUCGGAAUUACUGGGCGUAAAGCGCACGCAGGCGGUCUGUCAAGUCAGAUGUGAAAUCCCCGGGCUUAACCUGGGAACUGCAUUUGAAACUGGCAGGCUAGAGUCUUGUAGAGGGGGGUAGAAUUCCAGGUGUAGCGGUGAGAUGCGUAGAGAUCUGGAGGAAUACCGGUGGCGAAGGCGGCCCCCUGGACAAAGACUGACGCUCAGGUGCGAAAGCGUGGGGAGCAAACAGGAUUAGAUACCCGUGUAGUCCCUGUCUCUUAUAA